UCCAGAAUGAUGACAGGAAUAAUCAAUCUAACAAAAUAUUAAGAAAUUAGGAUAAUUGAAAAGUAAUUAUGACAGAGAGAGAGAGAGAGAGAGAGAGAGAGAGAGAGAGAGAGAGAGAGAGAGAGAGAGAGAGAGAGAGAGAGAGAGAGAGAGAGAGACUUAUAUGUCACGGGAUGUAAUGCCCUUGUCAUCCACUGGGGACAGACUCCCGCCGACUCCUGCAGGGCCUGCUCGGAAUCACAACAGCGUCCGGACCGUCCGAAGGGAACUGUGGCUUAACAACCAAAAACAGGUUAUUUAUAUGGAUUAUAUAGGCCUGCAUACAGGCUAUAUUCAUAUCUGUAUCUGACAACAAUUUCUGUGCAAACACUUCAGAUUGUCUCUUUAAUAACUCAGUGAAUGAAAGAGUUCAGAUGGUCUCUUUAAGAGUCCAGACGGUCUCUUUAAGAGUUCAGACUGUCUCUCUGGUAGUUCACACCGUCAAUCUAAUAGUUCAGACUGUCUCUAUAAUAGUUCAGACUGUCUCUAAUAGCUCGGACUUUCUCUCUAAUACCUGAGACUGUCUCUUUAAUAGUUCAGACUGUCUCUUUAAUGAAGGGAGGUCCUCUUCCAGUAAAUGUUGUUUGUCAGAGGCAGAUUAAACUGCGCAAUACUUCCGUAUUAAACACGGGAAACAAGGAAGACGCGGUCUCAAUUUAUACCAGCAAGUGAACAUUCUGAUCGCGAUGGACGGCAGCAGCAGCAGCACCAUCACCAAGGUGAACGGCAUGGUGGUGGUCACGCAGGUGUUCCCCGGAGCAGAUACCCGGGAGGCAGGGACACCUGGCCCGGGGAGGAGCGCCCCGCACCCGCCGGACUCCCCGGUCUACAACCCCGUCAAAGUGUCCGAGAUGACGGCCACCUUCCUCCGAGGCCAGCCGCAGUUCCUCGGGAUUGCACAGAUGUUCAUUGGCGCGGUGUGUGUGUGCAGCGGUCUGAUUGGCUUCCUGGAUCCCAGCCAGAUCAUGUCGCUGCCCCUCCUCGCCAGUAUCAUUUUUGUCGUGUCCGGAGCAGUCGCUGUCGCCGCCAGGAGAGGAACCAACGCCAGCCGGAUCAGAGCCACCCUGGGUCUGCACGUCCUGAGCGCCCUGGUGGCUCUGGCCGCCAUGGUCUACGUGCCCUGGCUGCUGGCCACCCAGACCUGGAAGACCCAGAUCUGCCCUGAGGUCGGCCCCAAUGACAUGUGUCGGAGCAUGCUUUGGUCCAUGCUAACUGUUCUGAAUGGCGUGUGGAUCUUGACUCUGGUCCUGGCCGUGGUUGAGUUCUCCGUGGCCGUGUCUCUCUGCGUGUUCUCCGGCCGAGCUCUGAGGAGCAGCAAGCCCUACCAGGUGGAGGUGGCGACGGGCGACUACUCCCCCAAGUCUGAGAGUGACGUGAGCUUAUUGGGCCCUGAUGGGAUGGACCCUCCGAGCGCCUGAGCCUCCGGGACCCCCCCCCCCCUCACUGAGGCUUCAGCACUGUAGUCGCAUAACCGCAGCCAUGUUCCCUAGCCAUGAUUUCACAGGGGCGUGUGUAUUACAGACACUACAGUAACGGCCUCUACGGUAAUCAAUGUAGCAGUUUGUCUGUUUCUCUCUCUCUCACUUCUCUCUCUGCCACCCUGUCUGCCUUCCUCUUAAAAUAAGAAAGUUACAAGUGAUUGCAUUCUAUAUUAUCCAAUAAAAAGUUUAUUACAAUUAUCUUUUGUAGUGUCGCUCCUACAAAGUUUGCGCUCCUCGCUCGACUGACGCAGUUCUGAAAAUACGAGGCAAUUCGUUUUUAGCGUGAUUCUAUCCUGCCAGUUGGUGUCGCUGUACAGCUAAGAGGUACAGCGAUGACGAUCUAGGUACGAUCACUGGACCGUCCCAACGUCAAUAUUGUAUUCUGGUCGUUGAUUGGUUCAGGGAGAACCUCCUCCGUUGGAGCUGGCCAAUAACAGAUAAGCAUGAUUGAAGUAAGUUAAAUUGAUACGGGAGAACCCGCCCUCAGGAGGACAGCAGGGGGCGCUGGUGAAGAACUUUAAUCACAGCUUCAACAAUGGAUAAAUAAUAAUAAUUAUAUUUAUUACACGGGUCUUUUCAACGUUCCGUUCACUUGCAUGGGCACUUCACAACUUCCGGCGGUCAAUUAUUUUUUGAUAAUUCAUUGGCAACGGAUGAAUAAUGACCGCUGUCAAGGUAAACAAAAGGACUUUUUGCCUUUGGUAACACUCCGCACGUAGUCAGGUAACUUGUAAAUGUAAUAAGCGGGAUAUGUAUCACCCAAGCGCUGCCGGUUGCUAAGCGACGACGUCAACGUCUUGGGCGGACUAUUUCUCUGCUGAUCAACACUAUGAAUGCUGCUAACAAAUACAUUGUAAAUAAAUUGUUUCGUUUUGGCAAGUAGCCGUGUAAUAAGCGGGAUAAUGUAUAGAACUUUGCCGGUCAUUAUCGUAAAAUAAGCCCCUUCAUGGCG
ensembl:lncRNA